rnacentral:misc_RNA from 1 species
AUGACGGACCGGUGUAUCAUGGUUACCUAGUUAUGUACACACUAUACUGAUAACGUUUUUGUUUCCUGUCAGAAUGAAGAAGACACGCAGAAGUAAGAAAGACGUAAACUCAGGUUUGAAUGUUUGCAUAGAGAAAGACCAGCAGAUGUGUGUAACUGUGGCAUCCUGACAUCAUAGAAAAUGCUGAGGGACAGACUGCAUAUAUUCCCUGUCUUUAUUGUCAUUUAUGUACCAGUUUCUUUCUUCAUCACAUAUGGAAUCGCUGUGUAUAAUGGCAACGUCAAGCCGGAUUUUCCAUACAUCAGUGAUACGGGAGCCACGCCCCCGGAGAGCUGUGUAUUUGGGCAACUGUUAAACAUAGCGGCAGUCGUAGCAAUGUUUGUGUUCUACAUACGAUAUAAACAAAUAGACACUUACCAGCGCACAUGUCCUCGUAAAGCCGUUUCAAGAGUAAACAAGGUAGCCUUUGUGAUCGGCCUGUUAGCAGCCUUUGGAAUUAGCAUGGUCGGAAACUUUCAGGAAGGCAACGUUUGGAUUGUCCAUAUGAUUGGAGCCUUCCUUGCCUUUGUUUUUGGUGGUGUCUACUGCUGCUUGCAAACCUAUCUGUCUUUUAAACUUCCAAACAUCCCAGGCUCAACGAGAAAUCUACGAAUAGGCAGAUUGGUCAUCUGUGUCCUAGAUUUUGCCUUCAUGGUAGCCAGUAUCCUUUUACGACAACAAUGUGUUAGACCAACAAAACAAAACAAAACAAUUAAAUAAUUAUACAUCAUAUAAUACACCUAAUAAUUAUUAUGAAAUUAGUACAUUUUCAGUAUGCUGAACAAUUUUUACGAAAACUCUUCGGUUUCAAUUUUUUUUUUACUGGGGUAGUUCUGGUUAAUGUUAGUUUUUCCUUGAUAAGACAAAAAGUUUUUGUGACGUUCAGGUUCACCAAAAGUAGUUCAAGUAUCAGACCCGGGUGUUGGACCACCAAGGAACCAGGGAUGAGUGCCUGUCUGGCAUCAACUAUCUCCGAAUGGAUCAUUUCGUUUUUAACUUGCAUCUAUGUCGCAACAUUCACUCCGGAGUUCAAAUAUUUCGAACUGAUAAAAGCAAAGAUACUUUUCCAUGAACUGACCAGGAACAAUGAGGUACCCGGAAACGAGAAUAGCGAGGAGACGCAAUCCAAUGGAACCGUGGUGACCACCGCCAUUACAGAAACAAGUGCCAAAUAUUAAAUGCCUGUGAUAUAUAUUAUCAAAUUACAUGCUGAAUUUGUUGAUAUUAAAUUGAUAUUAAAAUCG